CGGAGUUCAGUCUUCCCAGGCCCACCACUUUCAUCGAGUGAGCAUUCGUCUUCUGGUUACGGGGCCAUAGCUCAGCUGGGAGAGCGCGUGCUUUGCAAGCAUGAGGUCGUCGGUUCGAUCCCGUCUGGCUCCACCAGAUGGUUUGAUCACCGAGAUCUUGACCGUCGUCCGCGAAACAUCACUUCGCAUCCUGCUAGUCUGGAUAGACAGCAGUUUGCGUGUUUUCUGACAUCGUAAAGAGGAGAUCGAUCCGAGUUGGGUCGUGCAGCAUAUCGUUGCGCGAGCCUUCAUUAUCUCCGGAUCAUUUCGGCGCUCGCUUCCAGCCGUGAGGUUGGAUGCGGGUUGUAAAUGAUCCUUUUAGCGAAGCUUGACCGCCUCGCUAUCGGAACGAUCUUACGAAGCAAGCUGGUCUUUCUAGUCAAUGUCCGGCUGCGGAUAGCGUUCAUCGAGGGCGCGUGCCGCAAGGCAAUUCUGCAGACAACAUUCUGCCGAGUGUGUGGACAUUGAUAAUGAGAGCAAUCAAGUGCCUUAAGGGUGUUCGGUGGAUGCCUUGGCGCUGAGAGGCGAUGAAGGACGUGCUACGCUGCGAUAAGCCGUGGGGAGCUGCGAAGAAGCUUUGAUCCGCGGAUUUCCGAUG
rnacentral:misc_RNA from 2 species